rnacentral:rRNA from 1 species
UACGAAGGGGGCUAGCGUUACUCGGAAUUACUGGGCGUAAAGCGUGCGUAGGUGGUGAGUUAAGUCUGUCGUGAAAGCCCCCGGGCUCAACCUGGGAAUGGCGAUGGAUACUGGCUCGCUAGAGUGCGGUAGAGGAGAGUGGAAUUCCCGGUGUAGCAGUGAAAUGCGUAGAGAUCGGGAGGAACAUCAGUUGCGAAGGCGGCUCUCUGGACCAGCACUGACACUGAGGCACGAAAAGCGUGGGGAGCAAACAGG